GUGGAUGAGAAGGGAAGAAUCCCAUUUGAAUGAGCAUUCAUGCACUGCCUCAAGGAGAACAUGUGUGAGAUGCAGGAGACUUGUCUAUCAUGAGAAAGUAUCUACAAAGGGCUAGAGGACAAGGUGGCCACUUCAACCUUUGCUUUACUAACAGCCAAACUACUGAAAAUUAUUUCAAUCAUAAAAGAAAAAGUGGAAAUAAACUUGUACAUGAGAGCCAAACAAAUGGCUCGGCCAAAUAGCAGCUUGUAAUUCUGAAAUAGUUAUACAGAUACAGUCUCAUUCGUUUUUAAUCGAAUAAAAAAAACUUGUUCCAAAUUCUCAUCCCAAGGGCUCUGGGAAUUAAUGCCAAAGUCCAAGGAAAUCUCUUCCCUUCUCAGGAGUAUGAAAGUCUGAAGACUGCCAGAACACAGCUGUGUGCAAGAGAUCUAUGCUUUUUAAGAUGUACAUGGCAGAAAUUCUCCAUUAUCAUUAUGGAAAAGGGAGGAGAACAAUAUCAACAUGCCACUGCACAAAAUUAAUGUAGCCCAAGAAAAAAAAUACAGAAAUUGAAGUGCUUGAGAUAUUAGAAGCAUAAGAGCUCUUUGUACAAGUGAAACGGCCAGCACUGAAGCAGUCUGUUCUGACAAGAGGCUGGAAGACAAGUCCUGCUUAGCAACUAUUACUGGGUGGAACAGACAUACUUCCUCACAGCAGACAUCAUAACUAUAUAAGCCUGAGAAAAUUUGGAGCAAGAGGAUGUCUGGGGAGGUCUGAUGAGAGGGGGAUACUGCAGAGAUGCCAGAGCAGAACAAGGCAGCAAGGCAUACAGAAAGGGAAGGCUGGAAGGAGGCACAAGUGGGCGCCCUGUGGAGCAGCAGGCAGGGGUGCUGGCAAAACCCAUGCAGCAGCCUGUGUGGGGCUCAGCAACAGCCAGCUGCACAUCAGUUGUGCUGUGGAAAAAUGCUGUCAUCAGCUGAACAGGGUGGAGGGAAGAAGGGAAAGGAGGUCUGGAAAGUUAAGAAAAGUUUGCUUGUUUAGACCAAAAAAAAAAAAAUCGCAUAUUGUCCAAUUCUGCAACAGUCAGUGUCACUAUUAACUACUUUUAGAUUUAUAUGUUAUUAUCCAGUAUUUAGUCCCACUAAAGUACUCAAACUCCUCAUAAGAAUUCAACAUGGCACGUUAAAAAUACUGUCCAUAAUUUAAGAAGUCAAUUCAGCCUCAAGAAUCAAGUUUGUGCAAUUCUUCACCUAAGAUCAACAGCCAUUACGAACCCGCUACUUUCUGGCAUUGACUUUCAAAGCUGUUGUAAGGAAAUUCUGAAACAACUCAUCCCCCCCAAAUCUGGCCAGUGCUUAUGUAAUACUGCAGUUCACACAGAAGUAUCUGAAUCCUUCAGAUAAAAGCAUAAAUUACAAUAGAUUGCAGUAGAAAAACAUUUUCAAACACAGUCAGUAUUGGUUUGGCUUUCUGCCAUUAACAAUUGAUAUCAAAAUACUUUUAAACUUCAAUAAGCAUGGAAGGAGACAAGGACCAAAGUUCUUACAAGCCUGAGUGUUUGCUCACACGUCCUCAGAUAAAAGGAGGAGCUCAGGAACUGCUACAAGAGCUGCACCUGCAACAGUAAAUUGCAUUUAUUGCCUAAAAAAUGUCCCUCCAAGUCAGUCUGUGUACUUCUAAGUUUAAUCUGCCAUUACUGAAAACCAUUCCUGACAGCCUUCAGCUAGCCUGACAAUUGCUCCUAUUUACAAGAGACAACCUCCUUCCUGGUACAAGGUUAAAUCAAAUUCCACUACCUUAUUUUAGAACAGAAUAGAAUUUUCUUUACAAAUCACUGUUACGUGUUUGUUGGAAGAUCUCGUGGAUUUCUUCUAAGCACAGCUACGCUUCAGAGUCUGCUUAGAAAAUUCUUGAGUAACUGCACAAGAAUUGAUGGAACUACCUUCAGGUUGGCACACAGUAAAGAGUUUUCAAUACUGAACUUACUAAUGCCUUCCUUAUGAGAAUGUUUAAUGCAAAAAUAAAUAAUAAAUAAAUUAGAAGGUUUACAUCAUUUUGGACAAACCUUUAAGAACAAGGCUUCCACUCUGAAUUUCGAACCGGGGCACAGAGGCCAACACAGCACAUAAAGGUACACUCCCAGCAGCAGAGAAUGACAGUGGGCACGUAUCCAUGUCAGCAGGCUCCAAAGGUCUCAACAUUCCAUUACCCAGAGAGCACCCUGCCACACUGUAAGCUCUGACUGAGAGAAGGUGCCGAUGACACAGAAGAUGAUUUAAGUUACUCAGCUUUCCUGUAUCUUUACACAUACUAAUGAACAGACACAACUAAGGUUAUCUUUUAGAGUCAGUCAUGGAAAACAUACUUCAAUAAAUGAUGACUGGACUGAGAACACGAGUGAGCUGAGCAAGUCCCAUUCCAAUCAAUCAGUUAUUACUCCACCUACCCAGUUAAGAGACCAGCGCUCUUGCAACCAGUAGCAGGCAUUCCCUUGGCAUUACCAUACAAAGUAUCCACAAGGAUUUUGCUGCACUCUGCACAGAUUAAUUAAUACUUCAUUCUUCCCUGUAACAACAUUUUAGUGAUUUCAAAAAGAAAACAGAACAUACACAGACACCAGCAACAAAAGCAAACAGGAUCUCUGACUUGACUCUUCCUUUCUCUCACAUCAGAUGCUUACAAAUCUGGAAAGCAUCUACUUUCAUCAGAAGUUACAAGGUUCUAGAAAGGAAAAGGUUUUGCUCAUCUUUCUUCUCUCACAGACAGAAGCCUUUAGCAGUACCUCUGGGUUCUGUCUGUUUCUGUUAACCACAGUUGUGCACAGUGGGCACUUGAAAGAAUUUCAAGAGCAGCACAGAUGUAUCUCAGAGAUUGCCAAUGAGGUCUAGAUUUUUAAUGACGAUGGUGAAGCUCCAGAGGAAGUCUGGCCCACUUUAGUAAAUUAAAUUAAGAAGUGAACAAGAACAAGAAGGAAACAUUCAUUAAAAAAAAAAAAAAAAAGACACAGUCUUUCCAUUGCUUAGAUCACAAGACUGACAAUGAUAAAAGUUUUUACACACUGAGUCAAGAGCAGGAAGGGGCUGCAAUAGGAUUUCCAUUCUGAAUUCUUUCCCAUCAUUGGAAUUCUAUCAAAAGCUAUGAACAUUAAGUAGGGAAAAAAAAAAAAAAAAAACAGUAAAUGCCAAAACCACCUCCUUCCAUCUUAAAAAAAAUCUGGAGUGUUUCCUUCCCCCAAAUCAACUUCUUUUUAGGAUGCAAUACAGUUGAGAGAACUAUCAACACAACAAAUACCCUUCGGGGAUAAAUGCAGCUGUACAACAGCUGGUACAGAACCAUUCACAAAUCAUACAGAGUUGUUUCUAUGAACAAUUUAAAGACAUUGCUAAUGCAGAAUGAAGUCCUCAUCUGUUUGGUUGCAAGAAGACUUUUGAAGUCAUGGGGAGCCAUUCUCACAGACCUCUGUUGUUAUCCUGUUCAUUUUCAAGGAGACUGGAGAUAUAUAUAUAUAUAUAUUGAUGUGGAGAUUGUUAGGCUGAAUCACAGCAAAGAGAAAACCCUUCUCCCUUGAGCUACCAAUUAACAAGUAAGCCAAAGAGCUGUCCCUUUCUUAGAUGUUAGCUUAACACAGCCAUCUUCAGUAGCUCAUUUUCAGUAGACUAUUUUGGUGUUUCUUUACUCUAACUUCUGCUUCUGAUAUGAUACAAGACGCAUUUUCUCUCCCCCUUUAUCUAAGUUGUUCAUUUACAGUUUUCUUCAUUUCAGAGAAUAGGUAUCCAAAAUAAAAACAGGCCUCUCACUAACUUCAGCUGCUGGAAAGUACCAUUUUCUAAGUUAUUCCACAAAAAACAAGCAUUUUACAGAAAAGAAAAAAAAACACCACAAAAGUCUCCAAAUUGAAUGCUAGUAAGUGAGCUGGCAAUCUUUAAAAACUGGAAGAAAGCUUCUACCAUUGCUCUAUUGCUGAGAUGCAUAUCCAUGUUUAAUGGCGACUGAACAAGAAAUACAAAGCAACACUUAUUCUUAGACAAGGUACACUUCUGUGAUAGCACUCAGCACUUCUGUAACAUCACUGUAUUAACAAGAUCAAACUCGUGAGAACACAAAAGGUUUCCCAAGCUUUCAUCGCCAUUACCUCAGCUCAACUUAUCAUUACUUGUUUACCACCUUCACACUCCUGGAGGGCAGAACAAACACAGCACGCUCCUGUGGAAAUUCCUGUCUGCCUAACCCCCUGUCCCCACAACUGCAUCAGUUCUGUUUCAGAGUUUAUCUGUUCUAACUACCCUUUGUUUUAUAGAUCAACAGAGGAUGAAAAAGCAAAACAUCUAAAAGCAAAGAAGCAAACGUAUUUGUUACUGUGUUUUGAGUUAAAUUGGUACUUUUCACCUGGUUACUUUACAUCAACUCCACAAAAAAAUGCACCAUGACUUCAUUUGAGCUUUCUCUCCAUGGUUACCUUUUAAGGCCUGAGCAAAACACUUUAGUGCUCGUAAGUAACAUAACACCAUCAUCAAAUGUGUCAUCACAAAAAUGAUGGUGACUGUAAGCUACGUUACUCAUCACGUCUACACUGCAUGCAUGUCUCUGGAAGACAAACUACACAGUGGCAAUGAAAAGGUUAAUUAUUAUUUUUACUAGCUUAGAGAGCAAGGAGGUUUUGAAUUUUUCUUCCCCAGGAACAAUGGUAAAAGCAUCUAAACUAAAUCAUAUCAACUUGUAUUGCUUUUGGAACAACAGCAGAAGUACUAAACUGGAAAGAAGGUUUUCUGUUUGCAGAAAAAUAAGCACACUCACUGGCAGAGUCGUCAAGCACUCUGUCUGUCAGAUGGCACCUACUAAAACAGAACAUCAUCAGAUGCAGCACUGAAAGGUUUGACUGUGUCCAAAACUGGCUUGGGCCCUAACAGACACUACUUUUGUCUCCACAUUCCUUGCUGUACUGCUGUACUUCCAAGUGACAAGUUCUGCUAUUUUUUUUUAAUCCCAGCCCCAAACCAGAACUGCAAGGUUACUUGCCUGCCCAAGACUGGGCUUCAGAAUUCUGCAAUUUCUAUUCUGAGGAAGAAUGUUUUAAUAAAUAAGUACAUGGGAAAAUAAAGGUGAUUAUGAAGAAAAUCCUUCAAAUGCAUUAGGAUGCUUAUUUACACAGCGUAUCUACUAUAACACGGUUAAAUCUUCUCAAUAAUCUGGCAAUCUCUAAAUACAAGAUCUGGAUAAAGCUAAUCACUAGGUGCAACCACAGUGAAGCACCUCAGAUUAUCACCCAAUAUCCUCUUAUUGAGACCAUGAUUUCUCUUCAGUUUCUCCAUUUUUUUUAAAGUGUUACUAGAUCUGUCAUUUGACAUUCUGAAACCAUCUUCAAUUGCUUCCAGUGUUUUUCAUUUUAGAAGACACGUGCACUAGAUCAAAGCUCUUCCUCACUGUUCUGUAGCUUUCUGCCCUUUCACUAAAGCAUUUGUUCAGUCAAAAUUGGAUAGCCUUGGAAGAAAAUACACUUUGGAAGAAGUUAACAUCCAGCAAGCUUUGGAAUUCUAAGAAAGUUUAUGGUUCAUUUUAGCAAUAAACUUUAUCAGGUUACAACAUGAGUAGAAUUGACUUUGGUCUCACGCAUCUUGAAUCUCCCUCUCAUCAUCUUUCCUCCCCUAAGAUUCCCUCUGCGGGAAGAAAUGUAAGUUUUUGGCUAGGCUGCAGUAAUGCCAGUGCUGACAGCCAAAGCUCCCCCACCUCACCUCCAGUGGGAAGCACAAAUCUAAGUUUCUCCUCCACCCAGCUGCUGACACGUUCCAAAUUUCCAGGCACUUCCUUUUCUCUUUUCCUCUCUUCAUAUUUUACCAAAAUUGGCCAGUGAGUUCAAGAGUACCUGCAAAAGAACUAACAGAUGAGCAGACUGAUGGCAACCACAGAAUAAAUAAUCAGAUUCAACAGUUCUUACUUCUUUGUUUCACUCCAUUACAGCAUCUGUUUCCUACCCUAUCUUUUGUCAGAAGAACACAGGCCCUGCAUUUUCAAGUGUACUGCCCUACACUCCUUCCACAUCCCACUAUUACACAAGCCACACUUUAUAGCUUUUAUUUUAUAAUAAAUCAUUCUCUUCUUCAUAAUCCUACAGUAUCAUUAUUAUUCUACAGAGCUGUAGGGAUCACAGUCCUCUCAUGAAAAGUAGAAUAGACACGCAGUGCAUCGGGACUAUCGUUUUUAACACAUUUCAAUCCACUACUGCUUGAAUUAAUUCUUUAUAACACCAUGGACAUCUAAAAUAAUUACGAUGAAAUGAGCCUAUAGCCCUAUUCUUGUCCAAAAAAUUACAUGAGCAUAGGAGACAGUCAGGUUUUCCUGAUCAUCAUAAUAUAUAAUACAGCACAGAAGAAGGAGUCUUGAAGGUUUCCAGAGUAUGUGGAAGAUAACUUUCUCACACAGCUAGUAAGGGACCCUACCAGGAGAGAUGCCUCACUAGACCUGCUGUUCACACACAAAGAAUUGGUAGGAGAUCUGGAGGUCCAGAGCUGCAUCGGGCAUGAAAUGGCAGACCACGAAAUGGCAGAGUUCUCAAUUCUUAGUGAAGUCAGGUGGGGGGGGGGUCAGCAGAACUGCUACCUUGGACUUCCAGAAGGCAGAAUUUGAACUAUUCAGGACACUGGUAGGGAGAAACCCUUGGGAGUCUGUCCUGAAAGGAUUCAUAAAGGCCAGACACUCCUCAAGCAGAAAGUCUUAGAAGUGCAAAAGCAAGCUGUCCAUCUGUGCUGUAAGAUGAGCUAGUGGGAAAGAAAAGAGGUGUGGAUGAACACGGAACUUUUUCUGAGGCUCCAGGAGAAAAAGAGUUUACCUCCUGCAAAAGAAGGAAUGGACAACUGAGUACAAAGUUGUUAGAAUAUGCAGGGAGGAAAUUAGAAAGGUAAAAGCCAAGUUUGAAUUCCACCUGGCCACUCUAGUAAAGGAAAACAAAAACUUUUUUUUACAAAGUGCUAAGGAGAAUCUCCAUCCUUUACUGGACAUAGCAGGGACUGAGGAUAUGGAAAAGGCUGAGGUUCUCAAUGCCAUCUUUACAUCUGUCUUUAAAAGUCAGACCAAUUAUUCCUAAUCUAUCCCCUGACCUGGAAGUCUUGGAUGAGAAGCAGAAUAAGCUCCCUACAAUUCAGGUGGAAACAGUUAGAGACCUACUACUCCACCUGGACUGCCACAAGUCCAUGGGUCUGGAUGGAAUCCACCCAAGGGUGCAGAGGGAGCUGGUGGAGAUGACUGCCAAGCAACUUUCCACCCAUGUAUCAACAAUCCUGGUCAACUGGAGAGGUCCCAGAGGACUGGAGGCUUGCCAACGUGACACUCAUUUACAAGAAGGGUUGCAAGGAGGAUCUGGGGAACUACAGGCCCAUUAGCCUGACCUUCGUGCCAGGAAAGGCCAUGGAACAGAUCAUCUCAAGUGAGAUCACACGGUAUGUGUGGGACAACCAGGGGAUCAGGCCCAAACAGCAUGGGUUCAUGAAAGGCAGGUCCUGUUUAAACAAUCUGAUCUUCUAUGAUAGAGUGAUCCACCAGGUGGAUGAGGGGAAGACUGUUGAUGUAGUGUAUUUAGACAUCAGCAAAGCCUUUGACACUGCCUCCCACAGCAUUCUCCUGGAGAAGCUGUCAGCCUGUGACUUGGACUGGUACACUCUCAGCUGGAUGCCCGGGCUCAGAGAGUGGUGGUGAAUGGAGUUAAAAUCCAGCUGGCGAUGAGUCACAAGUGGUUGGUACUGGGUUAUAUCCAGUUUACUAUCUUUAUUGAUGACAUGGCAUCCUGGCUUGUAUCAGAAAUAGGGUAAGCAGCAGGAACAGGGAGGCGAUCAUCCCCCCUUACUCAGCUCUCCUGAGGCCACUUCUCAAGUGCUGUGUUCAGUUUUGGGCCCCUCACUACAAGAAUGACAUUCACAUCCUGGAGCAUGUCCAGAAAACAAAGCUGGUAUCACUGCAUCCAACUCUAUGAGGCACAGCUUCUGGAGUACCACUGCAGAGUACAAGGGAUCAGAAGCCUACCUCAGCAGUGGUCAGACCUAAGCAUGUAGAACGGAAAUUCAAAUACUAAGGUACUGACCAUACAGAUGCUAAAUGGAGCAAUAUAUUAGGCUGAAGAAAGGAGUAUAUCUGAAAUCUCAAGUAUUUUUAGAGUUCAGACAAGUGGACAUACUUUUAAAGCAUGAGCAACACUAUGUACUAGUAAACAUUACUGCAAUACCUCCUGAAGGAUAAAAAGCCAGAAGCCAGGUGUCCAACUUAGUCUGCAUUUAACAGGCAAUUACUUGCAGCACAAAGGAAACGUGACAUGAUACUUUGUUCUUUCAUAACACUAGAAUUUAAAAACCUUCUAUUUCAUAACCACAGGAUAAAAGAAACUUUUUAUGACAAAAACAAACAGUAUGCAAAAUACAUCUGUAGCACUGGCAAAGACCUGUUCUUCCUCAACUAGAAGCACUGCCCCACUACAUUUAGAGGAAGUCAACAGCUUCGCCCUCUAGCCUCAAAAUUUCAAUUACACUAUGAACCCAAGGUAAUUUUCAGUGGUUACCACUAAAGGGAAGUACACUGAUUGCAGAAAACCACAGAAUCAACACACUCAGCACCGCAGGGAUGGUAUCUAAGUACAUCUUAGUAAUAACGUGUCCCAGAAUUCUAUUUUUAAACCUUGCUUUGCUGGCAACACAAUUCAUCCAUCCAAAAUUUGAACAAAAACUAAAGCUCAUCACACCCUCUGGAAGCUGAGAUAAGCAGAAUAACAAACUUUCUCACAACAUAACAUGUAAGAACACAAGUAGGCAGCAUCCUAAAAACAGAAGUUUGCCCAAAUUUGCACACUAGCUAAAGCACAUGGAAUUCACUAGCAUUAAACACUAUCUGAUGAUGAGUAAACUUCACUUCUUAAAUGACCUCUGCUGUGUACAUGAAGUAUGUAGCACUUACAUGAUGAGCUUAGCCAACCCAGCAGCUUGCAUCUUAGGAGGGAAAAAAUGAGGAAGUCGGGAAGUCCUGUGCUCUGCCACUUCUUACACUUCCUACCAUGUAACCCCAACACAGUCAGCACUGCAAAUAGUGGAUCUCUAUGGGAAGGAAUAUCUCAGCUUGCUCUGGCUUUGGGAGAGAAAGCACACAGCAGUGAGACAAAAAAAUGAAGUGCAGCGGCAACAAGGUGGGAAGCCCAGAGGUCAUGAAGAGCCACAGACAGGUAAGAAUAAUGCCAGAGACACGGCCAGGCCUUGCAGAUGGAAGAAAAACUUCCUAGGGACUGGAGAAAACUGGUCUCUGAGUUGUAGCAACCUGUACAAUUCGUAAAGACAAAAAAAUGAAAGCAUCAUCUGAAACUAACUCUAGAAGCAAGGGCAUACUUCACUCCAGUCUGUGAAGAGUGACUGGUUGACAACUUUUAAUUUAAUAUUUUUUUCCAAACAACUUUGUAAAUAGAAGUGAAUAAAAUGUCUCUUUGAGCUUCAAAACAUUUUAGGGUUAUCACUGUUACUAGAGGGUACAAAGCUGUACCAGAACUCUGGCCAACAGGGUUCCACCACUGAUUUGCGAGUUAUAACUUCACUCCAACCCUCAACAUGUAUGCAGGUAGCUUCAGCAGUGCUUUGGAAACCAGUAAUAGCACCCAUGGAAGUAAUGACAGUAAUAAAAUGAAGGACAAGCAUGGUUUCUGUGGUACAAAGACCUAAAUUAUUUAUGACUCUACCAUCACCAUUUAUCAUUCUUAGAAGCACACUAGUCUCAGACCCAUCUUUCUUCCUCCUCAUUCCCAAUAUCUUGACAGAAGAGAAAGAUGUACAUGAAAAAACUUCAAAGCGCAAGAAAACUUCCCAGCAUUAAGUCAAAUCAAUGAGAAAUAAUCCUCUAGAAAGCAGAUCUGCACUCUCACUGAACCACUGAUCCUGAAAGCAAGUACUGAAAUACAGGUGCUACACAAGCAAGGCAGUUCUUUACUUAGGAAGUCAAAUGGAUUUUAACUUUCCGUACCAAGAUGUCUUCCUCUGGAGUCAGGUGACAAAGAAGAACCCUAAAUUGUACCUAAUCAUCACCCUAGUCAAAACUCACGUGGGGAGAAAAAAAGCUCUCUCUUUCUCAGCCCUCACAAAGAAAUUCCAGAAGACAGACUUAGUACCAAGAUGAAUCAUCUGUUACUUUUAUUUCUGUGCCUGAAACACCUUUGUCUCCAAAAGAGAUGCCACCCACACCAGAUCAAAAUAGCACUGUUCUGCUGAGCUUCCUCUUCAUCAAGUACCAUGAGGUGGGCCUCAAAAUCUAUGCGUGAUAGAAGAACUCAAUAUUUUGCAAGCUCUGCUUUCUUAACAUAUAAGAACUCUGCAGUCCCAGAUAACUGCACUUUCCUGGCCUAAACAUGAUAAGAAAUAAUCUCAUUUUUAUUAGAAAACAUGUGCCAAUAAAGUUUAUACAACAUAAUAAAAUAAUAUUGGAGGAAGAAGAACAUACAGUUCUAAUCACUGUCAGUGGAGACCACCAACAGGGCAAGCAGCUGUUGAGGUCUUUGCCCAGUUACAUGGAAAAAGCUGAAGAAGGCUCCUGGACUCCAGCCGCCCAUUCCAGUGUUCAGCCAUUCUCCAUUACAAGAUCCUUUGCUUGUCCUCAGCUGGCGUUUACGUUACUUUCACUGUACCUUUCAGCAGACUCCGACUGUCCUUUCCACAACAUCCCUUCCAGCUGCUGAAAGCCCUGCAGAGGCACGUCAGCCUUCCCUGCCACAGGCCUGGCCAUGCUGGCUCCACUGGCCUCAGAGGGCUGAGAGAAGCCCAGUGAGUGCCAAGCAGACAGGGAAUCACAUUCCUGCACUUAGAAGAUGACACUCCAGGAGUUAUGAACAAUAAAAUGAAGCCACACCAGUUUGCCACACAGGUAAACCAGUAGGAAUUAUAACACCAAUGCUACCAAUAGCAGGUGUAAGCAUUCCUUUUCUCCUUCAUUGAAUUGACUGAGCCACCCCAUCCACACCUUCUAAAGCAGCAUGUAAAACCUUUCUCAAGUCUUUUACCCUUUCAAAAAAAUAAUGCACUGCCACACACUAAACUAAGAAACCCAACAGCAGAUGUAACUCCCCGUUCAGCAGGAAGAGGUGAAGAUGAGUAGGGUGACAGAGGAUGUCAAGUGGUCCCCAUUUCUAGGCUACACAACAGUGACUGACAAUCAAACAUUAAUAGAACAUCAGCAAUCCACCCCUCAGUGUUUGUCUCAGGUUAAGAACUCUUCAUCUGCACUGAAUACAGAAGAAAACAUUUGCCCUGAAAGAGUCCAUGUCUACAAAAGCCGGAUACAUUUUGUAGAGGAACUGUUAGGUGAAGGCUUGAACUGGUGAUUGAGCAGCUGGUAAGGGGUAUGUCUGGCCUAGGGAGCGCAGGCAAAGUGUUUGCACCUGUUCUCCCAAGUGACCAGAAGGGGUGGACCCAGGUGCAGCCAACUUGGGCAUAUAAGAGCCAGCCACUGAAAGGAGAAUCCCCCUUGAACACAGGCUGCUUUUUGAAAAGGAGUACUGCGUAACCAGAGAGCCUCUUCACCAGCUGGUCAGAAAGAAAUUAUUCACUCCUGAAAAACACUCUGGGACUGAAAUAACAUACACUGGAAAUCCAGGUUUAAGAAAACCUGAACCAGCAUACUCUUCAAGCAACUGAGAAUUCCCUCAUCCACCAAUGGAUUUUCUGCAAGUGAAAAAGAACACACUACUCAGAAUGCAUUACAACAUUCUCGAUAGUCACUGGCAUGCAAGUGGCCCAUCGAUCUUGAAACUGCUGCUCAUGUGCUAAGCUCUUCACUAGCAACUGUGAAUAGUGGUGUUCAGGAUCCUAGGAGAAAGCAAUGAAGCCAUACAGCAGCAUCACAGCCCCAGGGGAAGGAAAGACCCCAGAAGGGUUCGGGGAUCAGCACAGAAGAAUCCCAUGGGACACUAUCCUGGAGAGGAGUCCAAGAAAGAUGCCUGACUUUCAAGAAUCUCCUCUUCCAAGCUCAGAAAUGGCCCAUACCAAUGGGCAGGGAAUCAAGCAAAGGUGGCACAAGGCCUGAACAGAUGAAGGAAGAGCUUCUGGCUGAACUCAAAUAUAAGCAAGAGCAAGACCUGGGUGAUCCAAAGGGAAUUCAGAGACAAUGUCUGAGCAAUGGAGCCAUUGUCAUAAAAGCCCAGGUGCAAUUGAAUCUGGAAGGGACAUAAAAGAUAACAAGAAAGGUUUCCAAACAUACAGAGGACAAGAAGGUGGAUUUACAAAAGGGAAACCAUGGUUAGCAAACAUGAUGGCUAUUUGGAAGGAGAUUAUAGGCUUGGUGAAAAGAGGGAAGAGCAGUGGAUGUCAAAACAAUAUCAACUUAAGGACAGCUUUUGACACUGUCUCCCAUGAAGUCCCUACAGACAAGCUGGUGAAGUACAGGCUAGAUAAAUGUUCAGUGAACUGAACUGAAAACUGGCUAAAGUGCCAGACUGAAAGGGUUGUGAUCAACAGCAAGAGGUCCAGCUGGAUGUUGGCCACUGGUGGUGUGCCCCAGAAGUCAAUAUUGAGGCCAAGACUAUUUAAAUCUUCUCUGAUGACAUAGACAAUCAGGCAGAGUGUACCUUUCAGCCAAGUACCCAGAUGAUUCAAAACUGGGGAGAGUUGCUGAUCACCAUGAGCAUCCUGCCAUUCAAGUGGAUAUUGACAGGCCAGAAAAACAGGCAAUUGAGAAACUCAAAUAGAAAUGUCAGGUCAUGCACCUGGGGAGGAAUAGCCCUGAGCAGCAGCACGGGCUUGGGGUCAAUCAACUGGAAAGCAGCUCAGCGUAAAAGGUGCUUGAACUCCUGAUGGUCAACAUGCUGAACAACUUUCACAAAUGUGCCCUCAGAGCAAAGAAAGCCAACUCUUCAACUCUGUCAGAGCACAGGGAAGAGAAAACAAAGGAGAGAAUUCAGUUUGAUAUGCAUCUCAGAGAGCCAGAAAUUCUAGCAGGAAAAAAAAAAAAACCAUGGGGGAAGAGGUAGUUCUGCUAGGCAAAUUUUGUUAAUGCUGAAGGAGACACCAGAUGACGUACACUCACACUUCAGCCCAUGAUUCACUGUGAGAAGAUGCACAGGAAUCUUUUUACUCUUCCUCUCUUUAAGAUUCACUUAAAUUUAUGAAUUUACAGUUGGUGUGUUACAGCAAGCAGUCUGCCUCCCUGCUUUUGAGGAAGCAUCUUUAACUCCAUCAAGGACUGCUUUUUUUUUAAUGGCUGAAACUUAUUUUUCUUCAUAGCUAAUAGCAUGCCAGGUUUUAGAUAUUGUAUCUAGCUAAACAUCAAUAAAAAUAAUUUGUCUUUGAAGCCCUUAUAAUCUAAUGCUGUAAGAAUGUUAUGAUGCUUGGGGCAUCUGUACUGAAACCUAGCACCAAUUCCCUGGAAAUAUGGCUAGCAGAAAGCGCAUGAUGCAAAUCAUUUACUUAUAUUCUACCGUGUAAUAAAAGAAUAAUAGAACUGGCACAACUGUUUUUUCUCAAGAAUUAAAAGGCUUUUUCCAAAAGCCCAUUUACUAGAACUGUUGAUCUAAAGCCUGCUGAAAUCAACAAGAAUCUUUAGCUGACCAGACUGUCACGGGUUAUUUUAUGGAGUAAUAUGGUAAGAACAAAGUUAUUUUCACUUAUUUCAGCUAUUUUACUAGAUGGUACUUCUUUCAAAUAGGAAAUCUUCAUUAACAUAAACCACCAUAAAAAUCUUUUCCUACCCAUUUAGUUUCACUAACUUCUAAAAUCAUACGUACUUAAGAAUCAAAAAAAGUAUUCUAGACUGCAAACAUUUUAAGCAAUAACUGCAAUGGAACUUCAGGCAACUGGAUGGAACUCACAGUACAAAACAGCCUAAUGGAACAGUAAAGACUCUACUGCCAUAGGUAAUAGCAGUAUACAGAAUAAUGUAAGUCAUGAAAUGGGUUUGUGAAAGAAACUGAAAGCAUCCCAAAAAAGGCUUUACUACAGAAAAAGAUCUAAUUGAAAAUAUAUCUGUAGUGAGAAAAUGCAACUAUUCCUAUUACCUUCCCAAAUGAGAAAGUGUGUCUAGAAGGAAGAAGCCAGGUUUCUCAAAGAAACAAUGGUACCUGAGGUUAGAGAACACUGGGAAAACACUGCUGCUCAUCAUGGGUUGUGAAAGUUAAUAAUCCUCAUGUGAGAGCAUAUUCUUGCAAUCCCUGCUUGUUCUCCUAGUAGGGAAGACUACAAGAGCCUUUCAAGGAAUGAAAGCUUAUGAUAUGUUGGGCCCUAAGAAGCAAAGAGAAAUCUGCCAGGCCAGAUUAUCUAAGAAGGGGAAGAGACUGCAGCAUUAACUGAACUUAAGGUCAAGUCACUCCCACAAAUCCUGUUCUUAAUCUCAUACCUAAUACCUUUCCCUCAACUCAUCUGGUAGCAUUAAUGGCUUGAAUUUAAAGGGGAAAAAAAAACUUUGAAACAUCAUGAUUCACCCUUCUGGCACUAACUGAAAGGAAUCAGACAUUACUGAUGGUGUUUGUGCUUCACCUCCCUCACAACAGAGGCAAAACACUGUAUACAGAUAAAAAUCCUGGUUUCCAAACUUCAGGUUCCCAUUCUGAGCAUGAGUGUGCAUUGAGACAACUGCUAGAUCUCUAACUGACACUGCAUCAUCCCAACUACUACUGUCUCUACCUGGACAUGAAGUGAAUAAAAAGGUUAAUGUGCUAUAAGAGUUAGAAUCUUUUUCUCCAAAUAAACUCAUAUCAAAUAAUGUGGAAAAACAGACAUCACAACAUUCUGAGGUGAGGUUUAAACACAAGAGGUCUUCCAUAAUUUUUCAAGUUUAAGUAUAUAUAAUUUGCCAAUUUAAUGUGAAGGAGAAAAAACUGAUUGUCCACAUACAAGCCUAACAGAACAGUUUAUCCCAUACACACCUUGCUGAGUAACUGUCUGGUAUUACCACAAUCUCUUCUCACCUUAAGGAAUUUUGGUUUCUCCGAGUCAUGAAUCACUGAUCACACGAGCAGAAACCAUCUCCACCACAAAAGCCGUUUAACAUUUCAGGCCCAGCUUUAAAAACAGCACCAAGCACCAGGGGAUGGGCUGGGAAGGGGCAGGUAGUUAUUCUGCCCACCAACACGAGACAAAAACCUAAAAUCAGCAGAACUCAUUUCAAAGUCCUAUAAGAGAUGAACCUCUCUUAACCUUCUUGAGAACUGAUUUUAAGGACUGGUGAAGAGAAGUUGCUUUUUGCCUGGUACAGCCUCUCCCUCCACUAUUUCCCAUACCUGUAUGUCAGCAGACCCCAAAGCUCUGUAGUUUGCUGUGCAGAUCCUCAAAGAGCUAUCUUCUAUCGCUAAGCAGGUGCCACAGAACCAGAUGGGAGGGGGAUACAGGAAACCACCUCUUCUGCAGUAGGCAGAAGAGCCAGUAGCAUCAUCCACCUAAGGAGGAGAAUAGAGUUCUGCUAUAGUCCUCGGGAUUUUACUGGGUCUGUUGCUGAGUACUUGCAAGAUCAUAAGCAAAUAGAAAAGUACGAGAACAUAAAAGUGAAAAUAUUAGAUGACCCACUAAUGCAUUAAGAAUUAAUAGAAACUUUAACUAACAAAUAAAAGUAUUCUAUGUUUGAUAUCUAGCCUGAGCCUCCAAGAAAUAGACAAAAAAAAAAUCAUGACAAUUUGAAAAACUAUACUUCCAGCUGCUGAUAGCAAACAGCUGCCUUGUUUCAGCAUGCUUAGCACAGAACCACAGCCUUGGAGGCCCGAAAGCAGAAGAAAUUCUGGUGAGCUACCAUGGAACUGGCACUAGAAGACAGCAAGAAGACUAUAGGUCAAAUCAAAGAUUCAUCCAGCCCUCCCCCAGCAGUGACCAAAAUAACUGCUGACAAUUAAGAGCAAGCAUCACCACAGCAUUCUCCAAGCUUCAAUUGCAAACCCAUAUCUCACUCCACCACAAGAGUAUUUAGUAACUGCUCUUCCAAAAACAUACCUGGAUUAUCCUUCAGCUUCCAUACACACCUUCAACUUCCAAAGUAUUAUAAUGAUGAGUAACAUGCUUAAUUAACUGUUAUGCAUAAGGGCCAGCCUCUUUUGCUUGUUCUCACUUCAAUAUUCACCUAACAUAUAUUGGAACAAAUAGUGAAACACUGAUCCAUACAAAUUCAAGGGAGACUGAGAAGGCCACCACAUCUCAAGUUCUCACUACACCUCCACAGUUUCCUCUUUCCUAAACUAUGAAAUCCUAAAUUUCUUAGGUUUUGGUACACACACAACUCCAUAUGCUCAAUAAUCAUAACUGCCCUUUCUCUGAGACUCUUCUUGUUCUAACAUGUUGUUUUUCAGACGGGGAAAAACAAAGAGGGAAGCAAGAGAACCAGGCCUAGACACAACAGCUGCAACCAUGCCAUGGAUUUAUGCACCAAGGCAUGACAGAGCCAUUCAAAAUUAUUAGGAAAUGAAUGACAAUUUGCUUUUUUUGACCACCACCAAGAGUUAAGCUACUGAUUCUCUAGAACUAGCAAUCACAGCUCUGAGGACUUAGUGAAGUGAGCUCCAAGUCAAUAAUUACCUCAGCAUUUUCAAUGCAACACUGUUUUAACCUCCCCCAUACAUACUACUUGACAUUUACACACACUGAGUUUUCACUUUAUCAACAUACACUGAACAUUAAGGGGUCCUUCGGAAUUUCCUCACCAACGUUUAUCUUCACUGGCAAGCAAAAAAUCUGUACAAAUAGAAAAAUAAGUAUUUCACUUCCCCACUGCCACUUAACUCAUGAAAACAGCAGAAAGACCUGCUUAGCUGUACAGCUGAAUCAUACUCUCAGUCACAAUGUAAACAGAAAAGAAAAAAACCUAUUCAAAACCACUGACAAAGUCAUUAAAAAAAAAAAAAGACCAGCUAAAGGGCAUAGGCUAUGCAAUGCUACUUGUAUUGGCCUGCAUCCAUUAUACAACGUCCUGUUUUGUAACACUUCCAUAGACAAAAAAAACCUUUGUUCCACCACAGAGCUACAAGAACCCUUUUGGAUUUUUUGUUUUUCAAAUAACAGUGAUCAACUUUUUUUUUUUUUAAUGAGUGUCAUGG